CCCGAGCCAAACCUCAGCCCACUCCCUGUCAUCCACGACCCACUCACUGCCCCUCUAUCUUUCCCUCAUCUUCUUUUUUUUCCCCUUAUCUUUCUUUGUGUGUUAUCUUUUCCAUUUGCGAAAGGUGCCUCUGAUUUUUUUCCCCCAACUACCCAAACCACCCCCACGCUUGAGCCUUACAUGUGACCCAACAGAGGGACCGUUUGCAGGGAGAGAGAGAGAGAGAGAGAGAGAGAGAGAGAGAGAGAGAGAGAUGUAAUUUUUGUUUUUGUUUUAAUCUUAUUUUUUCUAAAAUAUUAAUUUUCUUUACAAUUUUUUUUUAUGGAUUUUAAGUUUUAAAAUCUAAAUUGAAAUUUUUAAUUAUUAUUUUUUGAAAAAUGAGGUAAAGUGAGAUAAAAUUGUGUGAAAUAUGGGAUAAAGUGAGACAAAAUGAGAUUCAUGGGGUAAAGUGAGACUCAAAUACACUUUUAGGAGGUAUAUAAAGAAAUAAGCCUAAAAAAAAAAAAAACCAACCCACCUCAUCCUCCCCCACUUUAAUCCCAACCCCCAUCUCAUCGAUGUUCUGCAACAGCCUCUUGGUAUCCCACCCUCCCCAUUCUCUCUCUCUCUCUCUCUCUGAACAAACCCAGAGCCUUGCAGCCCCUAUAAACGUUUGAAGAGAGAAAUAGAGGGAGAGAGGAGAAGGGGACAUGGAGGGAAGGGAAGAAAAGGUGGGCUGUGAGGAGGAGAAGAUGGGGCGCUGGGGCAAUGGUUAUCGGGCUGGGAGGUGGGAGAGGGAAAUAGGUUUUUAUUUUAUAGUUUUUAAUUUAUUUACUAUUUUAUUUAAUUGGACUCUUUUACCCCUAUAUUUGACAGUAAUAUUGAUAGAAUCUAACGGUAGGACCAAUGCGCCGAUUAAUAAAGAGUUGGUGAACCAUUUAAACGAAUAAUUUAAUUGAAGGACUAAAAUGCAACUCAAGUGUAAAUUUGAGGACCAUUUAAGUAAAUAACUCUACUAUAAUAAUAUAUAGCCUUGCUUGUGUGUAACAUAUCACAUAUCUAGG
rnacentral:lncRNA from 1 species